rnacentral:rRNA from 1 species
UACGGGGGGGGCAAGCGUUGUUCGGAAUUACUGGGCGUAAAGGGCUCGUAGGCGGCCAACUAAGUCAGACGUGAAAUCCCUCGGCUUAACCGGGGAACUGCGUCUGAUACUGGUUGGCUUGAAUCCGGGAGAGGGAUGUGGAAUUCCAGGUGUAGCGGUGAAAUGCGUAGAUAUCUGGAGGAAUACCGGUGGCGAAGGCGGCAUCCUGGACCGGCAUUGACGCUGAUGAGCGAAAGCUAGGGGAGCAAACGGG